rnacentral:rRNA from 1 species
GAGCGGAUGAAGAUAGCUUGCUCCCUGAUUCAGCGGCGGACGGGUGAGUAAUGCCUAGGAAUCUGCCUGGUAGUGGGGGACAACGUUUCGAAAGGAACGCUAAUACCGCAUACGUCCUACGGGAGAAAGUGGGGGAUCUUCGGACCUCACGCUAUCAGAUGAGCCUAGGUACGAUUAGCUAGUUGGUGAGGUAAAGGCUCACCAAGGCGACGAUCGUUAACUGGUCUGAGAGGAUGAUCAGUCACACUGGAACUGAGACACGGUCCAGACUCCUACGGGAGGCAGCAGUGGGGAAUAUUGGACAAUGGGCGAAAGCCUGAUCCAGCCAUGCCGCGUGUGUGAAGAAGGUCUUCGGAUUGUAAAGCACUUUAAGUUGGGAGGAAGGGCAGUAAGUUAAUACCUUGCUGUUUUGACGUUACCGACAGAAUAA